rnacentral:rRNA from 1 species
UACGGAGGGUGCAAGCGUUAUCCGGAUUUACUGGGUUUAAAGGGUGCGUAGGUGGGUAGGUAAGUCAGUGGUGAAAUCUUCGAGCUUAACUCGGAAACUGCCAUUGAUACUAUUUAUCUUGAAUACUUUGGAGGUAAGCGGAAUAUGUCAUGUAGCGGUGAAAUGCUUAGAUAUGACAUAGAACACCAAUUGCGAAGGCAGCUUACUACACAGUUACUGACACUGAGGCACGAAAGCGUGGGGAUCAAACAGG